CGUCUUUCCCAGAUUGCAAGUUUACGUUCCUGCUUAGCGCGAAGUAAAGAUUAUCUCUAAUAAAAAACACGCACAAUGGCUAUAUCAAUGAAGAAAAUCUUGAUGUCUCUUUUCGUCGUUGCUGUCAUGCUUGUACUCAUUGGAACAGCAGACGCGUGUAUUCAUAACCGUGAUGGGUGUCAACCUGAUGGAAGUCAGGGCAAUUGCUGCAGUGGUUAUUGCCACAAGGAGCCCGGCUGGGUCGCUGGCUACUGUCGCAACCGCUAACUGUUUUUAUUCGUGUUUGCUAAUUACAAUAUUGUUAAAAAUAUUCGUUGUAUCUGAUCAACCAAUGUAGGUGUAAAAUAAAAUUUGACAUUU